AAGUCGUGACAAGGUUUCCGUAGGUGAACCUGCGGAAGGAUCAUUAACACGUAUCCAACGUUUAACCACCGUUCAUCGAAUAGCCGUCGCUACGCGAUUCUUGCGGAGAUUGCUUUCGGCCGACUAGAGAGACCAAGUGGAUGAGGGAAGCGAGUUGCGAGCGUGAAGGUGCGGUGCCGGCUCCGGGUGCCGUGAGCACGCCUUUGGCUCUCUCGAGAUUCCUUGCCCGAAGUCUCGAGAAUCUGCACUUCUUGGGAGAACGAUUACCCACACUCUGGGAAGUUCGGCUUCCUUAGCCUUCGUCGGGUGGUCAUUGUGUCUUCGGGAAGUCGCGCUCUUUGCUGGUUUCAAGUUUAAAUUAAGUUUCCGCGAGGUCGUGGUGCGUCCCCCCA
rnacentral:misc_RNA from 1 species